AGGAUAAACGCUGGCGGCGUGCCUAACACAUGCAAGUCGAACGUCUCUUCUUUCGGGAAGAGGAGUGGCGGACGGGUGAGGAACACGUGGGAACCUGCCCUUUAGUGAGGAAUACCGGCGAGAAAUCGCCGACAAGACCGCAUAGCCCUCUUUGAUGAGAGUCAAAGAAGGAAAGCUUCGCAAGAGGCGCUAGAGGAGGGGCCUGCGUCCGAUUAGCUAGUUGGUGGGGUAAGAGCCUACCAAGGCGUCGAUCGGUAGCUGGUCUGAGAGGACGAUCAGCCACACUGGGAUUGAGAACGGCCCAGACUCCUACGGGGGCAGCAGUGAGGAAUUUUCGUCAAUGGGGGCAACCCUGAACGAGCAACGCCGCGUGCAGGAAGAAGGUUUUCGGAUCGUAAACUGCUUUCUCGGGGAAGAGAACGGACGGUACCCGAGGAAUCGAGCCCCGGCUAACUACGUGCCAGCAGCCGC
rnacentral:rRNA from 1 species